AGAACGAACGCUGGCGGCAUGCCUAACACAUGCAAGUCGAACGCGUGUAGCAAUACACGAGUGGCGGACGGGUGAGUAACGCGUGGGAACCUGCCCUGGAGUGGGGGAUAACCGAUGGAAACGUCGGCUAAUACCGCAUACGUCCUGAGGGAGAAAGAUUUAUCGCUCUAGGAGGGGCCCGCGUCGGAUUAGCUAGUUGGUGAGGUAACGGCUCACCAAGGCGAUGAUCCGUAGCUGGUCUGAGAGGAUGAUCAGCCACACUGGGACUGAGACACGGCCCAGACUCCUACGGGAGGCAGCAGUGGGGAAUAUUGGACAAUGGGGGCAACCCUGAUCCAGCAAUGCCGCGUGAGUGAUGAAGGCCUUAGGGUUGUAAAGCUCUUUCGGCGGGACGAUGAUGGACGGUACCGCAGAAGAGCCCGGCUAACUCGCGCCAGCAGCCGC
rnacentral:rRNA from 1 species